GCACCGUGCUGCCCGCCAGCCUCAGCGGGUUAUGUGUAGUUGCUGGACCUUGCCUUCAACUAGGUCGCUGUUACUGGCAUGAGAGCAGCAUGUACUUGAAGCAGCUUUUUUGGCGGUUUGGGUUUUUUUUUUUUAGCUUUAUGUUUUUCUCUGUCUGUGCAGCUGAGAGCAUGUAUGGAAAUGUAGCGUGAGGCACACUGGCCUAAAAUGGAAGGUUCGGGUGCAUACAUUUCUCGUUCUUGUUGAACAGGAAUUGCAACACUUGAAGCCUUCUGAAUUUCUAAAGGGCAUGUCUGUGAGUUGUUUGGGGUAUUAUAGACACCCUCUUGGACCAAAUAAUCCAUGCGGUUGCAAGACCUCAGUCAAUUUACUGCCUGGACUGCAGGACAGGGGGGAAAUCCUGGGAGGACUUGCAUGCAGUGUUUGGAGUUGCAUGUUUAAGCUUUAUCCUGCCUUCAAGAAGCUGUGAAAAUAACAGCCACAUCUUCUAUGCCAUGUGGUGGACCUUCCUUUAUAGCAGGCCACUGCUGCACUGGUGUGCUGUUCAUCUAAAUAUCGUGAUGGAGAGGAAGAAAAGCCAUUGGUUCUUGGGAUUGUUUUUCCUUUGCAACGCAAGGGGUGACGGCUGCUCUCCUGUUCUCUUCUACAGCGCUCGAACGAUGUCUGGGUAUGGAUAGACAAUAGGCAGGCUGCUGCCUGCUGUAAAUAGCCCAUUGUGUGCUGAGAGUAGGAGCAGCAAAGAACAGCAGAGUCCUGCCAACUUCGGUCAUUGCCUUGAGAUACUGGCUCUGCUGUAAGGAAUGAGUCUUUGGUGCUGUGAGGUGUGUGUGCAUGUGUGUGAGUGAAGAGCUGGCUUUGCAUGAGAUGUACAGAGCUCCUUAACCAAACUGACGUGAUGAGUUCAGACGGAUGCUUUAAUGGGUUGGAUUUCGGGAACUGUUUCUGUGUUGGUGGCCAGGACAGGCAGCCAUCUCUGAAGCAGUUUUCCCCUGUUAUGAAACCCACUUUUGCA